AGUCCCGUGGUGAAUUUCACAUUGAAU
rnacentral:tRNA from 1 species